AAAAGUCAGAAGGUCAUGUCAUAUAAUAGGUCAUUAUUUUAUGUUUAGUGCUUUACGAGAGUUUGCACUGUUUACGUCAUGCUUGAGUUGAUUGACAGGUCCCGCCUAUAAGGGGGAGUUCCCGGAAGUAACUGCGAGUCAGUCUACCGCAUGUUGAACGGCUCUGCCACGUUAU